UUGUUGUGGUUUUUAUUUCUAUUAGAACAUACCAAAAGGAAAUACGUUCUUACAGUGUAAAUCCGGAUUCCACAAAGUAUCAAAUUACAACAACAUGAUUUCAAGUAUAAAUGACUGAUGCUGGCUGCUGGCUACGGCUUACAAAUUAACAGACAUUGGAAGAAAAUCAUGGACAAGUUAGGAGAUAAAUGUCAUACAUUUGUACUGAAAUUUCUAUAGUGAAAAUGGAACCCGCUCAAG